rnacentral:rRNA from 1 species
UACAGAGGUCCCGAGCGUUGUUCGGAUUCAUUGGGCGUAAAGGGCGCGUAGGCGGCUUGGCAAGUCUGAUGUGAAAUCCCGGGGCUCAACCCCGGAACUGCAUUGGAUACUGCCUUGCUAGAGUACUGGAGAGGGAACUGGAAUUUACGGUGUAGCAGUGAAAUGCGUAGAGAUCGUAAGGAAGGCCAGUGGCGAAGGCGAGUUCCUGGACAGUUACUGACGCUGAGGCACGAAGGCCAGGGGAGCAAACAGG